UACGUAGGGUGCAAGCGUUGUCCGGAAUUAUUGGGCGUAAAGAGCUCGUAGGCGGUCUGUUGCGUCGGCUGUGAAAACCCGAGGCUCAACCUCGGGCCUGCAGCCGAUACGGGCAGACUAGAGCUCGGCAGGGGAGACUGGAAUUCCUGGUGUAGCGGUGAAAUGCGCAGAUAUCAGGAGGAACACCGGUGGCGAAGGCGGGUCUCUGGGCCGAUACUGACGCUGAGGAGCGAAAGCGUGGGGAGCGAACAGG
rnacentral:rRNA from 1 species